GUCAUUCCUUAAUGGCCUUUUGUGUCUGUGAUGUCACAAUUCUAGAGACUUUUCUUGCUAUGGCUGUUCUAUGAAACUCUCCGUGUUCAUCACAAAAACUUUCAACAUGUGCCCAGCCAGCUCCUGCAUGCCUGUGCCAAGCUUCCCUUCUUACAACACAGUCCUUGAAAUGAGCCCAUCUGAAAAGAAGCCCCAAGCUGGCAAGGAUGCCAUGAGGUGAACAGACCUCUCCAACACACAAGUCCAUCUUGAAAUGAGGAGCUGCAUAAAUCCAAAGCAACAAGGCCAAGCAAAUGUGGACUGGGAUGUCAGACACAGAGUCUCUGAAUUUUCUCAGGCACUUUGCUGCAGAAACGGAUAGCUAAAUCCCUUACUUACAGAUCUCUUUGCUUAUACAUGCACUAGAAGACACAGAGUUCCUACUCACCUCUCUUGGUUUAUCUCGAAAUUUUUAGUAAGCUAAAUUUUACUUGCAUGUUUUUCAAUAUCUAACACAUUUCAGCAAGCUA